rnacentral:rRNA from 1 species
UACGUAGGGGGCAAGCGCUAUCCGGAUUUACUGGGUGUAAAGGGGGCGCAGACGGCAGCGCAAGCCAGGAGUGAAAGCCCGGGGCCCAACCCCGGGACUGCUCUUGGAACUGCGCGGCUGGAGUGCAGGAGGGGCAGGCGGAAUUCCUGGUGUAGCGGUGAAAUGCGUAGAUAUCAGGAGGAACACCGGUGGCGAAGGCGGCCUGCUGGACAGCAACUGACGCUGAGGCUCGAAAGCGUGGGGAGCAAACAGG